GAUGAACGCUGACAGAAUGCUUAACACAUGCAAGUCGAUGGGGAGGUGGUGCUUGCACCAUGGCAACCAUGGCGGACGGGUGAGUAACGCGUAAGGGACUUACCUGCAGGACUGGGAUAACAGGGGGAAACUCCUGACAAGACCGGAUAAUGUCAUGGAGCUGCAUGGCUUUAUGAUGAAAGGAGACGCCUGCGGAGAGCCUUGCGUCCUAUUAGCUAGUUGGUGAGGUAAUGGCUCACCAAGGCGAAGAUAGGUAGCCGGCCUGAGAGGGUGGACGGCCACAAGGGGACUGAGAUACGGCCCUUACUCCUACGGGAGGCAGCAGUGGGGAAUAUUGGACAAUGGGGGCAACCCUGAUCCAGCAAUUCUGUGUGCACGAAGAAGGUUUUCGGAGUGUAAAGUGCUUUCAGCAGGGAAGAAGUAAGUGACGGUACCUGCAGAAGAAGCGACGGCUAAAUACGUG
rnacentral:rRNA from 1 species